GAUGAACGCUGGCGGCGUGCCUAAUACAUGCAAGUCGAGCGAACAGACGAGGAGCUUGCUCCUCUGACGUUAGCGGCGGACGGGUGAGUAACACGUGGAUAACCUACCUAUAAGACUGGGAUAACUUCGGGAAACCGGAGCUAAUACCGGAUAAUAUAUUGAACCGCAUGGUUCAAUAGUGAAAGACGGUUUUGCUGUCACUUAUAGCUGGAUCCGCGCCGCAUUAGCUAGUUGGUAAGGUAACGGCUUACCAAGGCAACGAUGCGUAGCCGACCUGAGAGGGUGAUAGGCCACACUGGAACGGAGACACGGUCCAGACUCCUACGGGAGGCAGCAGUAGGGAAUCUUCCGCAAUGGGCGAAAGCCUGACGGAGCAACGGCGCGUGAGUGAUGAAGGUCUUCGGAGCGUAAAACUCUGUUAUUAGGGAAGAACAAAUGUGUAAGUAAAUAUGCACGUCUUGACGGUACCUAAUCAGAAAGCCACGGCUAACUACGUG
rnacentral:rRNA from 1 species